rnacentral:rRNA from 1 species
AUUGAACGCUGGCGGCAUGCCUUACACAUGCAAGUCGAACGGCAGCGGGCCUUCGGGUGCCGGCGAGUGGCGAACGGGUGAGUAAUGCAUCGGAACGUGCCAUUGAGUGGGGGAUAACGUAGCGAAAGUUACGCUAAUACCGCAUAUUCUGUGAGCAGGAAAGCAGGGGACCGCAAGGCCUUGCGCUCUUUGAGCGGCCGAUGUUAGAUUAGCUAGUUGGUGAGGUAAAGGCUUACCAAGGCGACGAUCUGUAGCGGGUCUGAGAGGAUGAUCCGCCACACUGGAACUGAGACACGGUCCAGACUCCUACGGGAGGCAGCAGUGGGGAAUUUUGGACAAUGGGCGCAAGCCUGAUCCAGCCAUGCCGCGUGAGUGAAGAAAGGCCUUCGGGUUGGUUAAAGGUAC